CCCUUAGAUGUUCUGGGCCGCACGCGUGCUACACUGAGUGGAUCAGCGGGUCAGGUUACGCGAGAGCGUUUCCUAAUCUUCAAAUCCGCUCGUGAUGGGGAUUGACGGUUGCAAUUUUCCGUCAUGAACGAGGAAUACCUUGUAAGCGCGGGUCAUCAUCCCGCGCUGAAUACGUCCCUGCCCUUUGUACACACCGCCCGUCGCUCCUACCGAUUGAGUGGUCCGGUGAGGCUUUGGGAUCUAAGCGAAACGAGCGUUUCGCUCCUUUUGCUGGGAGAACUCAGUCGAACCUUAUCAUUUAGAGGAAGGAGAAGUCGUAACA
rnacentral:rRNA from 1 species